AAAUCAGGUAGGACUACCCGCUGGAA
rnacentral:rRNA from 1 species